rnacentral:rRNA from 1 species
AUUGAACGCUGGCGGCAUGCUUUACACAUGCAAGUCGAACGGCAGCGCGGGCUUUGGCCUGGCGGCGAGUGGCGAACGGGUGAGUAAUACAUCAGAACGUGCCCAGCAGUGGGGGAUAGCUCGGCGAAAGCCGGAUUAAUACCGCAUACGACCUGAGGGUGAAAGCGGGGGAUCUUCGGACCUCGCGCUAUUGGAGCGGCCGAUGGCAGAUUAGCUAGUUGGUGGGGUAAAGGCCUACCAAGGCGACGAUCUGUAGCUGGUCUGAGAGGACGACCAGCCACACUGGGACUGAGACACGGCCCAGACUCCUACGGGAGGCAGCAGUGGGGAAUUUUGGACAAUGGGCGAAAGCCUGAUCCAGCAAUGCCGCGUGUGUGAUGAAGGCCUUCGGGUUGUAAAGCACUUUUGGCGGGAACGAAAAGGACUGUGCCAAUACCACGGUUGGAUGACGGUACCCGCAGAAUAAGCACCGGCUAACUACGUG